AGUGAACGCUGGCGGUAGGCCUAACACAUGCAAGUCGAACGGCAGCACAGUAAGAGCUUGCUCUUACGGGUGGCGAGUGGCGGACGGGUGAGGAAUACAUCGGAAUCUACUUUUUCGUGGGGGAUAACGUAGGGAAACUUACGCUAAUACCGCAUACGACCUACGGGUGAAAGCAGUGGAUCUUCUGACCUUGCGCGAUUGAAUGAGCCGAUGUGGGUUUAGAUGGUUGGCGGGGUAAAGGCCCAGCAAGGGGACGAUCCGUAGCUGGUGUGAGAGGAUGAUCGGCCACACUGGAACUGAGACACGGUCCAGACUCCUACGGGAGGCAGCAGUGGGGAAUAGUGGACAAUAGGGGCAAGCCUGAUACAGCCAUACCGAGUGGGUGAAGAAGGCCUUCGGGUUGUAAAGCCGUUUUGUUGGGAAAGAAAAGCAGCAGGUUAAUACCCAGCUGUUCUGACGGUACCCAAAGAAUAAGCACCGGCUAACUUCGUG
rnacentral:rRNA from 1 species